rnacentral:misc_RNA from 1 species
UCCCAUUCUUGACUUCCUCAAGUCUUCUGCUGUCCGAUUGGCAAGAUCUCGUCCAUCUUCUGCAUCAUCAUCUCCUUCAGAAGUCGUUGCAGAAAUCCAGUCAACCAAACUCUCAGUUCCACGACUUUUCCUUCCAAACUUCAAUAAUCGUUUAAACCCUUUUGUCACGUCCUUGCGUGGCUGAUUAUGGGAUGAAUUAGAAACUAUAAUAGGCUUCUGACCACUUCCCCACUUCUUCCUCAUUCG